rnacentral:lncRNA from 1 species
UGAUGGUCGGACAAAGCCCUUAGGACCUUAAAUAAACCAAGAAUAAAAGGAAAAACAAAAAAGUCACACACAAAGGAGGAAUCUUCGACAGAAUCACAUAUUGAAAUCUAACAGAAAUAGGGGUAGAAACUUACUUGCUCGUAGAAAUUGAUGGACUAGAAAUAUAGACUUUGUCGCCGUGAUCGAUUAGACACCUCCUAAUCGUCAGAGAGAUGACUCAGGAGUCAAAAUUCUUAAAGAAAAGAUAAAAAAACUCUAGAAAAGUGGUUUCUAGAAAGAUGUUCAUUUAUAACAAAAUUAUUUAUAACUAAAUCAUUUAAUAU